rnacentral:rRNA from 1 species
GCCUUUAGCAACACAAGUAUUAAAGGUCCUGCCUGCCCAGUGAAAAUUUUUAACGGCCGCGGUAUCCUAACCGUGCAAAGGUAGCGUAAUCACUUGUCUUCUAAAUAAAGACCAGUAUGAACGGCUAAAUGAGGACAAACCUGUCUCCUGCAACCAAUCAGUGAAACUGAUCUCCUGGUCAAAAAGCCAGGAUACCCACACAAGACGAGAAGACCCUGUGGAGCUUAAAAUUACUUACUAACCACUACCAGGAGCACUAGUAUAUAUUUUAAGUUGGGGCGACUUCGGAACAAAACAAAACUUCCGAGCACAGAACCACCACUUCUAAUUUAGGCAAACAAGCCAAAUCAAAAACAGACCCAGUACUACUGACCAACGAACCAAGUUACCCCAGGGAUAACAGCGCCAUCUUCUUCAAGAGUCCAUAUCGACAAGAAGGUUUACGACCUCGAUGUUGGAUCAGGGCACCCCAAUGGUGCAGCCGCUAUUAAAGGUUCGUUUGUUCAACGAUUAACAGCC